CGGGAUUUCAUCUUUCGGGAUGAAUGAGAGUGGCGCACGGGUGCGUAACGCGUAUGCAACCUACCUGUUACAGGGAGAUAGCCCGGGGAAACUCGGAUUAAUAUCCCAUAGGAUAUAUUAACUGCAUGGUUUAUAUAUUAAAGCCUUCGGGUGGUAACAGACGGGCAUGCGUAGGAUUAGCUAGUUGGAGAGGUAACGGCUCACCAAGGCGACGAUCCUUAGGGGUUCUGAGAGGAAGGUCCCCCACACUGGCACUGAGAUACGGGCCAGACUCCUACGGGAGGCAGCAGUNGGGAAUAUUGGUCAAUGGGCGAGAGCCUGAACCAGCCAUGCCGCGUGCAGGAAGACGGCGUUCUGCGUUGUAAACUGCUUUUAUCUGGGAAGAAAAAGCCCUUGCGAGGGAAAUUGCCGGUACCAGAAGAAUAAGCACCGGCUAACUCCGUGCCAGCAGCCGCGGUAAUACGGAGGGUGCAAGCGUUGUCCGGAUUUAUUGGGUUUAAAGGGUGCGUAGGCGGCUGAUUAAGUCAGCGGUGAAAGUUCUCGGCUCAACCGAGAGACUGCCGUUGAUACUGGUCAGCUUGAGUUAUGGAGGGGUACAUGGAAUUUAUGGUGUAGCGNNGAAAUGNAUAGAUACCAUAAGGAACACCGANNNNAANGCGUUGUACUGGCCAUAAACUGACGCUNAGGNACGAAAGCGUGGGUAGCGAACAGGANUAGAUACCCUGNUAGUCCACGCCNNANNNAUNAUNAC
rnacentral:rRNA from 1 species